GUUCGAAAUCGGUAGACGCUACGGACUUAAAAUCCGUUGGCUUUAUUGACCGUGAGGGUUCAAGUCCCUCUACCCCC
rnacentral:tRNA from 1 species